UCUGCGUGGAGCCAACCUUGAAAUACCACCCUUUAAUGUUUGAUGUUCUAACGUUGGCCCCUGACCGGGGUUGCGGACAGUGUCUGGUGGGUAGUUUGACUGGGGCGGUCUCCUCCCAAAGCGUAACGGAGGAGCACGAAGGUUAGCUAAUCCUGGUCGGACAUCAGGAGGUUAGUGCAAUGGCAUAAGCUAGCUUGACUGCGAGCGUGACGGCGCGAGCAGGUGCGAAAGCAGGUCAUAGUGAUCCGGUGGUUCUGAAUGGAAGGGCCAUCGCUCAACGGAUAAAAGGUACUCCGGGGAUAACAGGCUGAUACCGCCCAAGAGUUCAUAUCGACGGCGGUGUUUGGCACCUCGAUGUCGGCUCAUCACAUCCUGGGGCUGAAGUAGGUCCCAAGGGUAUGGCUGUUCGCCAUUUAAAGUGGUACGCGAGCUGGGUUUAGAACGUCGUGAGACAGUUCGGUCCCUAUCUGCCGUGGGCGCUGGAGAAUUGAGGGGGGCUGCUCCUAGUACGAGAGGACCGGAGUGGACGCAUCACUGGUGUUCGGGUUGUCAUGCCAAUGGCACUGCCCGGUAGCUAAAUGCGGAAGAGAUAAGUGCUGAAAGCAUCUAAGCACGAAACUUGCCCCGAGAUGAGUUCUCCCUGAGACU
rnacentral:rRNA from 1 species